rnacentral:rRNA from 1 species
CCUACGGGAGGCAGCAGUGGGGAAUAUUGGGCAAUGGGCGCAAGCCUGACCCAGCAACGCCGCGUGAAGGAAGAAGGCUUUCGGGUUGUAAACUUCUUUUAUGAGGGACGAAAGAAAUGACGGUACCUCAUGAAUAAGCCACGGCUAACUACGUGCCAGCAGCCGCGGUAAUACGUAGGUGGCAAGCGUUAUCCGGAUUUACUGGGUGUAAAGGGCGUGUAGGCGGGACUGCAAGUCAGAUGUGAAAAUUAUGGGCUCAACCCAUAACCUGCAUUUGAAACUGUAGUUAUUGAGUGAUGGUGAGUUAGGCGGAAGUGCGGGGGAAGCGGGGAAAUG